UCCAGCAGCUAUAUCCCCCUGCAGCUCACCACUGUCAACCCAGGGAAGCUCAGCAGGUGUGAGCCUGGUCAGUACCUGGAUGGGAGACCUCCAGGGAAGAGAGCUAAGGCUGCUGCUGGAA
rnacentral:rRNA from 1 species